rnacentral:lncRNA from 1 species
GUUUGGUUUGCCAUCACUUUUUGUGACUUUUCUGACAUCUGCAAGUGUCGGAAGUGUGACCUGAAACAUUUAAGGACACUUCUGCCUGAACCAUGGGCAGAUGUUUAGACUCCAAGAUACAGAGGAGGAGGGUCUUGGAGGUUUCUUAGUAUAAGUUCCUCCCUGUGGUACUUGCAGUUCCUACAAGGGGCUGUCAGAGAAACAAGCCGGAGAAGAGCAAGACAUGGUCCUGGUGCAUGAAAGGAGCCUAAGAAAGAAGAGUGAAAGCUGCACGUGUUCUACCUCCAGAAAGCCAUAAAAGAGAAAAGAAUGUUGUACCAAACUAAGCAAAUGAAGCAUGAAAUGAAAAGCCGGUUGAGCUGGGAGGUAUAAAGAAUGGAAAGGAAGCAGCUACCACCCCUGGUAACCCCAUCAAUCCGGAGAAGCUUCGCAGAGUUACACUGUGCUCUGUCGGAGGAAGUCUAAAAUAACACAUGGGUGUCUCGGCCUUGGCACAGCUAAACCCUGGAACAUUGAACUGAAGUCAUAACAAUGGGUAAUAUUUUAAUAUAAUGAAAAAUUAUCAUUAACUUUUCUCGACAGGAAGGAAAUGAAUUUUCCUCAUUGUACACAUUCCGAGAAAAAUGAGGCUAAGACUAUUUCAAAGGAUGUUCUACCUAAUUCGAAUGGGCUUUAAGUGCCAUCUUCACAAUAGCGCCAGAGUCUGGUGUCAGCAAACUGAACAAAUAGAGCUACAGGGAGCGAAUGGGGCUGGGUGCCUCUCCAAAACAUAUGCAGAUGAACUUGAGAUUUCAGAGGACGGUUAAUCCUACACAGCAGUCAAGUGCCUUCCCAGGGGUAUGUCUCAGAUCUCAGAGCAUCCUGGCAGGCAUCCACUGUGCCAUAUGCUUUCGGGAAGUCUGGAUGCUGAAUGUGGUGGCUGUGGGGAAUUGAGCCUUAUUGCUUCAUAAGAUUCCUGGUGGUAGAACUAUUCUGAACAAGAACACGUCCGUCCCCAUAGGUGUGCUCCAAGAAUCACAGAAUAAGAAGGGACUUCGGAGAGAGCCUCACACAGUUGGGCAAUGGGAGCCCAGAGAGGCAAGGAAGGCUCCUUGCCCAAAGUCUUGUACAUCUGAAUCUGCAACUCCUGACUAUUUUUGAGUCUUAUGCUCCAGGCUAAAACUUGUGACUUUAAGUGUGAUGUUCUCGGUGAUGAUUAAUCUAGGAUGUUUCUGUUGUUUUCUUACCGUCAAAGAAUUAACAUCAAAAGGAAAGGAAGGAAGAAAUGUAGAAGUGAAGGCAAGAAGGAAGGAAGGAGGAAAGGAAGGAAGGAAAAUAUAGGCUUUGGGUAAAAAUAAGUUUCUACUCAACACUGACAAAGGUACAGGUUUUGGACAUUGGUUUCCUAAUCUGUAAAUGAGGAAUAGUCAUCACAUCGCUGUCCUGGCUGGUUUUGUGUGUCAACUUGACACAAGCUGGAGUUAUCACAGAGAAAGGAAAGAAAAUGCCUCCAUGAGAUCUAGCUGUAAAUGGAUUAGUGAUCAAGAGUGGGAGGGCCCAGUGUGGGUGGUGCCAUCCCUGGACUGGUGGUCCUGGGUUCUACAAGAAAACAAGCUGAGCAAGCCAGGGGAAGCAAGCCAGGGGAACAUCCCUCCACGGCUCUGCAUCAGCUCCUGCUUCCUGCCCUGUGUGAGUUCCAGUCCUGACUUCCUUUGGUGACGAACAGCAAUGUGAUAGUAUAAGCUGAAUAAACCCUUUCCUCCCCAAC